GAUGAACGCUGGCGGCGUGCCUAAUACAUGCAAGUCGAGCGAACAGAUGAGGAGCUUGCUCCUCUGACGUUAGCGGCGGACGGGUGAGUAAUACGUGGAUAACCUACCUAUAAGACUGGGAUAACUUCGGGAAACCGGAGCUAAUACCGGAUAAUAUAUUGAACCGCAUGGCUCAAUAGUGAAAGACGGUUUUGCUGUCACUUAUAGCUGGAUCCGCGCCGCAUUAGCUAGUUGGUAAGGUAACGGCUUACCAAGGCAACGAUGCGUAGCCGACCUGGAAAGGUGAUCGGCCACACUGGAACUGAGACACGGUCCAGACUCCUACGGGAGGCAGCAGUAGGGAAUCUUCCGCAAUGGGCGAAAGCCUGACGGAGCAACGCCGCGUGAGUGAUGAAGGUCUUCGGAUCGUAAAACUCUGUUAUUAGGGAAGAACAAAUGUGUAAGUAACUAUGCACGUCUUGACGGUACCUAAUCAGAAAGCCACGGCUAACUACGUG
rnacentral:rRNA from 1 species